CGAACGGUGAACACGGAGCUUGCUCUGUGGGAUCAGUGGCGAACGGGUGAGUAACACGUGAGCAACCUGCCCCUGACUCUGGGAUAAGCGCUGGAAACGGCGUCUAAUACUGGAUAUGUGACGUGACCGCAUGGUCUGCGUCUGGAAAGAAUUUCGGUUGGGGAUGGGCUCGCGGCCUAUCAGCUUGUUGGUGAGGUAAUGGCUCACCAAGGCGUCGACGGGUAGCCGGCCUGAGAGGGUGACCGGCCACACUGGGACUGAGACACGGCCCAGACUCCUACGGGAGGCAGCAGUGGGGAAUAUUGCACAAUGGGCGCAAGCCUGAUGCAGCAACGCCGCGUGAGGGACGACGGCCUUCGGGUUGUAAACCUCUUUUAGCAGGGAAGAAGCGAAAGUGACGGUACCUGCAGAAAAAGCGCCGGCUAACUACGUGCCAGCAGCCGCGGUAAUACGUAGGGCGCAAGCGUUAUCCGGAAUUAUUGGGCGUAAAGAGCUCGUAGGCGGUUUGUCGCGUCUGCUGUGAAAUCCGGAGGCUCAACCUCCGGCCUGCAGUGGGUACGGGCAGACUAGAGUGCGGUAGGGGAGAUUGGAAUUCCUGGUGUAGCGGUGGAAUGCGCAGAUAUCAGGAGGAACACCGAUGGCGAAGGCAGAUCUCUGGGCCGUAACUGACGCUGAGGAGCGAAAGGGUGGGGAGCAAACAGGCUUAGAUACCCUGGUAGUCCACCCCCGUAAACGUUGGGAACUAGUUGUGGGGUCCAUUCCACGGAUUCCGUGACGCAGCUAACGCAUUAAGUUCCCCGCCUGGGGAGUACGGCCGCAAGGCUAAAACUCAAAGGAAUUGACGGGGACCCGCACAAGCGGCGGAGCAUGCGGAUUAAUUCGAUGCAACGCGAAGAACCUUACCAAGGCUUGACAUAUACGAGAACGGGCCAGAAAUGGUCAACUCUUUGGACACUCGUAAACAGGUGGUGCAUGGUUGUCGUCAGCUCGUGUCGUGAGAUGUUGGGUUAAGUCCCGCAACGAGCGCAACCCUCGUUCUAUGUUGCCAGCACGUAAUGGUGGGAACUCAUGGGAUACUGCCGGGGUCAACUCGGAGGAAGGUGGGGAUGACGUCAAAUCAUCAUGCCCCUUAUGUCUUGGGCUUCACGCAUGCUACAAUGGCCGGUACAAAGGGCUGCAAUACCGCGAGGUGGAGCGAAUCCCAAAAAGCCGGUCCCAGUUCGGAUUGAGGUCUGCAACUCGACCUCAUGAAGUCGGAGUCGCUAGUAAUCGCAGAUCAGCAA
rnacentral:rRNA from 1 species